rnacentral:rRNA from 1 species
GAUCCUGGCUCAGGAUGAACGCUAGCUACAGGCUUAACACAUGCAAGUCGAGGGGAAACGGCAUUGAGUGCUUGCACUCUUUGGACGUCGACCGGCGCACGGGUGAGUAACACGUAUCCAACCUUCCCGUUACUCUGGGAUAGCCUUUCGAAAGAAAGAUUAAUACCGGAUAGUAUCGAGAGAUUGCAUGAUAACCCGAUUAAAGAUUUAUCGGUAACGGAUGGGGAUGCGUUCCAUUAGAUAGUAGGCGGGG